rnacentral:tRNA from 1 species
GUGGGCGUCUUCUAAUGGUUAGGAAAUCUCGUUGUGGUCAAAGUUGAUUCCGUGAAAAUGUCGGUUCGAUUCCGGCCGCCCACA